rnacentral:rRNA from 1 species
GACGAACGCUGGCGGCGUGCUCAACACAUGCAAGUCGAACGGAAAGGCCCUGCUUUUGUGGGGUGCUCGAGUGGCGAACGGGUGAGUAACACGUGAGUAACCUGCCCUUGACUUUGGGAUAACUUCAGGAAACUGGGGCUAAUACCGGAUAGGAGCUCCUGCUGCAUGGUGGGGGUUGGAAAGUUUCGGCGGUUGGGGAUGGACUCGCGGCUUAUCAGCUUGUUGGUGGGGUAGUGGCUUACCAAGGCUUUGACGGGUAGCCGGCCUGAGAGGGUGACCGGCCACAUUGGGACUGAGAUACGGCCCAGACUCCUACGGGGGGCAGCAGUGGGGAAUAUUGCACAAUGGGCGGAAGCCUGAUGCAGCAACGCCGCGUGCGGGAUGACGGCCUUCGGGUUGUAAACCGCUUUCGCCUGUGACGAAGCGUGAGUGACGGUAAUGGGUAAAGAAGCACCGGCUAACUACGUG